rnacentral:rRNA from 1 species
UACAGAGGUCUCAACCGUUGUUCGGAUUCAUUGGGCGUAAAGGGUGCGUAGGCGGUCGCGCAAGUCGGAUGUGAAAUCUUAGGGCUCAACCCUGAAACUGCAUUCGAUACUGCGUGGCUUGAGUACUGGAGGGGAGACUGGAAUUCCUGGUGUAGCGGUGAAAUGCGCAGAUAUCAGGAGGAACACCGGCGGCGAAGGCGGGUCUCUGGGCCAUAACUGACGCUGAGGAGCGAAAGCGUGGGGAGCAAACAGG